UGUUCGAUCUGUAAUAAACAUAUUUAUGUUUAGGUCGAAUAGAUUUGGAUUAUAAACGGAACGGAUCGAUCUGUUUAAUCCAUUUAAUAAUUAGAUUGGAUUUAGAUUUUAAAUAUCUAAUCUGUUUUAUAUUCAAAUCGGAUUAAGUUAGAUAACCUAUUUAACUUAUUUCUGAUCAAUUUAAUCCGAUCUGUUUAACAUGUUUAAUCUAUUUAAAAUCU
rnacentral:lncRNA from 1 species